AGCUCCAUAGCUCAGGGGUUAGAAUACUGGUAUUAUGAACCAGGUGUUGCAAGUUCAAUUCUCGUUGGGGUUU